rnacentral:rRNA from 1 species
UACGUAGGGGGCAAGCGUUGUCCGGAUUUACUGGGCGUAAAGAGCGCGCAGGCGGUCGUUCAAGUCGAGUGUGAAAGCCCCCGGCUCAACUGGGGAGGGUCACUCGAUACUGAUCGACUUGAAGGCAGGAGAGGGAAGCGGAAUUCCCGGUGUAGUGGUGAAAUGCGUAGAUAUCGGGAGGAACACCAGUGGCGAAGGCGGCUUCCUGGCCUGUUCUUGACGCUGAUGCGCGAAAGCGUGGGGAGCAAACAGG